UACGAAGGGGGCUAGCGUUGCUCGGAAUUACUGGGCGUAAAGGGAGCGUAGGCGGAUAGUUCAGUCAGAGGUGAAAGCCCAGGGCUCAACCUGGGAACUGCGUCCGAUACUGGAUGGCUUGAAUCCGGGAGAGGGAUGCAGAAUUCCAGGUGUAGCGGUGAAAUUCGUAGAUAUUCGCAAGAACACCAAUGGCGAAGGCAGCUCGCUGGGACGGUACUGACGCUGAGACGCGAAAGCGUGGGGAGCAAACAGG
rnacentral:rRNA from 1 species